rnacentral:misc_RNA from 1 species
AUUAGCUAAACAUGCAGAAGCAAGCAAAAUUACCAAGGAAACACAUUGGGAGUAGAAUCAGUAGAUAGGUGAGAGCAAUAUUUGCCCUCGCCUGUUAAGAAAUCACAAAAUUGGGCAGAUGAGACACUAGAAAGAAUAUGUGAUUAACCAAUUAUUGAGCAGUCCUUGGAAGGCACUGGUGCCAUCCAAGAACUAACAGAAGCAGAAAUUGACAGUUUCUUUCAUAUCACUGUAGAGUUGCUUUAGCACUUCUCAUCAUUAUAUAAAUUUAAAAGGAGGGUUUUGCAAACUAAUCUGCAACUAAGUGAAUAGGCAUGAAAAGCUCAACUAACCCUCAAUCUCAGCAUGUUAAAGACUACAUUAACCCUCUGUAAUCAUCCAGCUUAAUCUAAAGCAAGACCUACAAGUACAGCAAAACACAUGCCAUAACUUUCAAUCUGUCAGAUUGGAUGACUGCCAUGGCAACUGGAUUUAACACCAUUCUUCGCAUCACAGUAAAACUUCUAAACAAAUUUCUUUAAAAAAAUAUUUCAACUUCGAUUAUUUGCAUAUGGCUGAUGUUUCUGAUGGUACAACACAACUUAAAUAUCACAUAGUUGGAAGGAAGAACUUACGCAUCAAUUGAACAUUCACUACAUUCAGCAUUAGGAUUUACCAGGCAACAGAAGCAUCAACUAGCAUGGCAGAUAUUGAUUAAGGUUAAAUAAACAGUAAACCAUCCACCACUUAAGGUCCAGAAUUUCACAAGUGAUGAUAACAGAGAAGUAGAUCAAAUUCACAUAAACAAAAUCAACAAUUAUGCUUAAAUCUCCAGCAAUGAAAGCAGACUACAGAGAUUUCCAGAGAACUCAAAGAGAUAAUCAUAUAAAAAAGUAAACUAAAUGAGAAUGGUCAAAGAAUCUGACCCCAAAUAAAGCCAAUGAAUCAA